AGAGUUUGAUCCUGGCUCAGAUUGAACGCUGGCGGCAUGGCUAAAACAUGCAAGUCGAACGAGAACCUACUUCGGUAGGGGACAGUGGCGAAAGGGCGAGUAACGCGAUUGAACGUAUCCCAAGGUGGAGGAUAGUGUCGAGAAAUCGGCAGUAAUACUCCAUGUGCUCUUCGGAGGAAAGAUUUAUCGCCUCGGGAGCGGCAAUCGUCCUAUCAGGUAGUUGGUGGGGUAAAGGCCUACCAAGCCGAAGACGGGUAGCGGGUGUGAGAGCAUGACCCGCCGCAUCGGGACUGAGACACUGCCCGGACUCCUACGGGAGGCUGCAGUAACGAAUCUUCCGCAAUGGGCGAAAGCCUGACGGAGCAAUGCCGCGUGUGGGAUGAAGCAUCUACGAUGUGUAAACCACUGUCAGGACCUAGGAACAAUGACCAGGUCCAGAGGAAGGGCCGGCUAAUUCCGUGCCAGCAGCCGCGGUAAUACGGAAGGCCCGAGCGUUAAUCGGAAUCACUGGGCUUAAAGGGUGCGCAGGCGGACCAGCAGGCAUGUCGUGAAAUCCCACAGCUCAACUGUGGAACUGCGAUGUGAACCUCUGGUCUUGAGGCAAGUAGGGGUCGAUGGAACCAUGGGUGGAACGGUGAAAUGUGUAGAUAUCCAUGGGAACGCCAAUGGCGAAGGCAGUCGACUGGGCUUGUCCUGACGCUCAGGCACGAAAGCGUGGGGAGCGAACGGGAUUAGAUACCCCGGUAGUCCACGCCGUAAACGAUGUGCACUAGAUCGGAGAGGCUCUCACGCCGUUCCGGUCGAAGAGAAAUUGUUAAGUGCACCGCCUGGGGAGUACGGUCGCAAGGCUAAAACUCAAAGGAAUUGACGGGGGCUCACACAAGCGGUGGAGCAUGUUGCUUAAUUCGAGUCAACGCGAAGAACCUUACCUAGCUUUGACAUGUAUGGAUUAACUUUUCGAAAGAUAAGCCACGCCCUUUGGGUGGAACAUACACAGGUGCUGCAUGGCUGUCGUCAGCUCGUGCUGUGAAGUGUCGGGUUAAGUCCCUUAACGAGCGCAACCCCUAUCGUUAGUUACUAACGCGUUAUGGCGAGGACUCUAGCGAGACUGCCGGUGUCAAACCGGAGGAAGGUGGGGAUGACGUCAAGUCAGCAUGGCCCUUACAGCUAGGGAUGCAAACGUGCUACAAUGGCGUGGACAGAGCGACGCAAUAUCGCGAGAUGGAGCAAAUCGCAAAAACCACGCCCCAGUUCGGAUUGCAGGCUGCAACUCGCCUGCAUGAAGUCGGAAUCGCUAGUAAUCGGAGAUCAGCUACGCUCCGGUGAAUACGUUCCUGAGCCUUGUACACACCGCCCGUCACGUCAUGGAAGCCGGGAGCGCCCGAAGUCACGUCAUCUCAGGCGUGCCUACGGCGAGAUCGGUGACUGGGACGAAGUCGUAACAAGGUA
rnacentral:rRNA from 1 species